rnacentral:rRNA from 1 species
CAGAGAUUAGCUUGCUAUAUUUGUCAGCUAAGUGGCACACGGGUGAGUAAUGUAUAGAUAACCUGCCCUCUAGAAAGGAAUAACAGUUGGAAACGACUGCUAAUGCCCUAUAUGCCUUUAAUACAUAAGUAUGCAAGGGAAACGCUUUAGUGCUAGAGGAUGGGUCUGUAUGGUAUCAGCUAGUUGGUGAGGUAAUGGCUCACCAAGGCUAUGACGCCUAACUGGUUUGAGAGGAUGAUCAGUCACACUGGAACUGAGACACGGUCCAGACUCCUACGGGAGGCAGCAGUGGGGAAUAUUGCACAAUGGACGAAAGUCUGAUGCAGCAACGCCGCGUGGAGGAUGACACAUUUCGGUGCGUAAACUCCUUUUAUAUAGGAAGAUAAUGACGGUACUAUAUGAAUAAGCACCGGCUAACUCCGUGCCAGCAGCCGCGGUAAUACGGAGGGUGCAAGCGUUACUCGGAAUCACUGGGCGUAAAGAGCGUGUAGGCGGGUAUAUAAGUCAGAAGUGAAAUCCUAUAGCUUAACUAUAGAACUGCUUUUGAAACUGUAUACCUAGAAUGUGGGAGAGGUAGAUGGAAUUUCUGGUGUAGGGGU